UUAAGUUCAGCGGGUAUCCCUACCUGAUCCGAGGUCAACCUUUGAAUGGGUGUGUUUAGCGGCCAGGCCCGCCCAGUCUCGCAAGCGGAUAGUUUUAGCCACAACGCUUAAGAGACGGGCGGUCAGCCGAAGGACAUUAGGGCGCGCGGGUCGCCGCGCAGCCCAAUACCAAGCCAGGCUUCAGUGGUGUAAUGACGCUC
rnacentral:misc_RNA from 1 species